rnacentral:misc_RNA from 1 species
AAGUCGUAACAAGGUUUCCGUAGGUGAACCUGCGGAAGGAUCAUUACUAAAACAACGGGGCGGCCUCUUGGCGGCUCCUUCUCUGCUCACGCAGUAGAAAAUUGCCUAGUGGGCUUAAGUCUAACACGACGAAUGAUCGUGCUUAACCCACCUGUCUUCGAUCAGCCUUUGUGGCCAUCGUCAUGACGGGCAAAACCUACCCUGUAAUUACCAAUCACUUUGUGGUUGUGACUUGGCUUGAAAACAAGUUUUCUUAAUACAAAA